GACGAACGCUGGCGGCGCGCCUAACACAUGCAAGUCGAACGAGCGAGAGAGAGCUUGCUUUCUCAAGCGAGUGGCGAACGGGUGAGUAACGCGUGAGGAACCUGCCUCAAAGAGGGGGACAACAGUUGGAAACGACUGCUAAUACCGCAUAAGCCCACGACCCGGCAUCGGGUAGAGGGAAAAGGAGCAAUCCGCUUUGAGAUGGCCUCGCGUCCGAUUAGCUAGUUGGUGAGGUAACGGCCCACCAAGGCGACGAUCGGUAGCCGGACUGAGAGGUUGGACGGCCACAUUGGGACUGAGACACGGCCCAGACUCCUACGGGAGGCAGCAGUGGGGAAUAUUGCACAAUGGGGGAAAACCUGAUGCAGCGGCGCCGCGUGGAGGAAGAAGGUCUUCGGAUUGUAAACUCCUGUUGUUGAGGAAGAUAAUGACGGUACUCAACAAGGAAGUGACGGCUAACUACGUG
rnacentral:rRNA from 1 species